CGAGGGCUUCAUCCAGCACUGCCAGGGGCGGCGCGGUCUCGCGCCCCCGGACCCGCCCCCCCGCCGCGGGCGCGCGGGGGGGCCCCGCCCGAGCCGGGAGGAGCCGCGGCCGCCGGGGCAGCAGCGUCACCGCUCCGAUACUGAAAGUAGCGUUGAGAAACCGGCAAAAUGAGUAGUCGUCGGAAACGUGCACCUCCAUCCAAAGUGGAUGAGGAGAAGAAGAAAAAGCUCUGCUGGAAUAUGCAUGAAGACCGGAGAAAUGAGAUGGUGGCAUUAGAUGAUGAAGUAACUAAUGAGGACCAUAUUCCAGUUCCAAGCACUUCUGCAUCCUUCGUUGUUAUAAACGAUGAUAGCACUGAUGAAGAUCUUGUACAGAAAGAAGGCAGUGGCUCAAAAUCUGUUAAGUUUUUGACAGUUAACGAUGAAGAAGACUCUUACUCCAUCUUGACUCCUGUGUCUGUACAGCUAAAUAUUAUAGUCCUGCCAUACCGUGCAGAUAGGUCCUGGAAGGCUUUGUUGGGAGAAUUUGCUCUUCGUCUGCUUUCUGAGCAAAUUCAAACUGACGAAUUCCGUGACAGGAGCUUUACUUUAAUGAAAGGAGACUCUGAUGAUGAGCUGCAGGUCUGUGUUCAUGAAAGAAGUGAAGAAGAGUACAGUAAUGAAACAAAAGAAUACCUGGGCGCUUAUGAACAACGUAUUCUGGUGGAAGCAACUUUAAGUGGUGAAAUAUUGGAAGGCUUGAGAUGGUUGCAAAAGAAAAAGAUAAUUGGACUUUAUCAAAGACCUGGAGAGACUCAGGCUUUAAAGGUUGGAAUUUACCUCCUUGAAGCUGGGCUGAGUAAACCGGAAUUUCUCAGUGAUGGAGGUGGAAGACCCAAAAAAGCUAAUCAGAUGAUUCAAAAGCUCAUGGAAAAGUUCUACAGUUUUUUAAUUCCAGAUGAGCUGGAGGAAGAUGAGGAAGAAUCUGACAUGGAACUAGAGCGACAAAAUAUUGAAGAGCUUUAUGACUUCGUAAGGCACACCCACCAGCAGGAUAUCCAGUUACUGAGAAAAGAUGUGCAGCAUCCUGCAUUAAUUCCCAUUCUGAGGCCAUACCAAAGUGAGGCUGUGAACUGGAUGCUUCACCGAGAGAACCACGCAAGUACUCCAAAUAGUGAAAACGCGCUGCAUUUCUUAUGGCGGGAGGUGAUCACUCUGGAUGGAGUAAAAAUCUACUAUAAUCCAUUUACCGGCUGUAUUAUCCGUGAGUAUCCAACUGCUGGACCCCAGUGGCCUGGAGGUAUUUUGGCAGAUGAGAUGGGUCUUGGAAAAACAGUAGAGGUGUUGGCUCUUAUUCUGAAUCAUACCGGACCAGACAUUAAACAAGAUGAUCUGACAUUACCUGAGGGUAAGCUUGUGAACUUCUUUGUUCCACCUCAACCUUUAGAGGGAAAUAAAAAGAAAAAAACAAAGGAAAUGGAGCCUAAAUUAAAGGAAAAAAUACAAUAUCCCAGCUUACGAGUAAUGAUAUUAACAGCUGUAAAGGAAAUGAAUGUGAAGAAAGGAGCAUCCAUUAUUGCAAUAUUUAAGUACAUCAGUUCCAUAUAUAGGUACGACACACAGAGAAAUAGACGGCUUCUCAAAAGAACUCUAGAAAAGCUAAUUGCAGAGCAGGUGAUAGAACAAGUUAAAGGACAUGGUCUGGCUGGGUCUUUCAAGCUGGGAAAGAAUUACAAGGAACAGAAGAAGCGAGAAAGAACCAAAGAGCAGGUAGCAAGGACUUCAGAAAACACUCAGAAGAAGCAAUUGAUUGAUGCUAAAACUCAGACCAAAGAAUCAAGAAGCACUGACGUAACAUCUGAAAAUGUCUUUAAAACUGCUUCACAUGAGAAUAUCACCAUGGAAGAACAUGAUUAUUGUGCAACCAGUAAAAAUAACAGGAAAUCUGAAGCAGAUCAUGAGAACUCUGUAGAAGACAAAAAUGUUAAGCAAGAAACUGUGGUCUCAAAGUCUCCUGAUUUUGAUGGCAGCCUCCUUGUCUCCAGUGACGUGAACAGUCAUUCUGAUGUUGAUGUUUCUAAAACUGCAGCUGUUGUCCAGCAGGAAGUCCCAAAGGCCCAGUCCUCACUUUCCCUAGAACAUGCUGGCAGUAGCAUACAACAUACUAGUUCUGUAUUUCCAUUUAAUACCUCUGAAUAUCGUUUUGAAUGCAUCUGUGGUGAGCUCGGAUUGGCUGACUACAAGGCUCGUGUGCAGUGCCUGAAGUGUUACCUGUGGCAACAUGCAGAAUGUGUAAACUACAAAGAGGAGAACCUGAAGAGCAGACCCUUCUACUGUCCCCAUUGCCUUGUGGCAAUGAAACCAGUUCCCACAGGAGCAACUCUUAUCAUUUCUCCGAGUUCUAUUUGUCACCAGUGGGUAGAUGAGAUCAACAGGCAUGUACGAUCAUCAUCUCUUCGAGUUCUGGUGUAUCAAGGUGUGAAGAAGCACGGCUUUCUGCAGCCUCACAUGCUGGCAGAGCAGGAGGUGGUUAUCACCACGUAUGACGUCCUGCGCACCGAACUGAACUACGUAGACAUUCCCCACAGUAACAGCGAGGAUGGGCGCCGCUUCAGGAACCAGAAGCGCUACAUGGCCAUCCCCAGCCCCUUGGUGGCGGUGGAGUGGUGGAGGAUCUGCCUCGAUGAGGCACAAAUGGUUGAAUGCACUACUGCAAAGGCUGCUGAAAUGGCACUCCGUUUGAGUGGAAUCAAUCGCUGGUGUGUUAGUGGCACUCCUGUGCAGCGAGGAUUAGAAGAUUUAUAUGGAUUAGUCCUUUUUCUUGGAGUUGAUCCUUACUGGGUCAAACAUUGGUGGGACCAACUACUGUAUCGACCUUACUGUAGGAAAAAUCCCCGGCCUCUCUACAGUCUAAUUGCGAAGAUAAUGUGGAGAUCAGCAAAAAAGGAUGUGAUUGACCAAAUUCAAAUCCCCCCUCAGACAGAAAAUAUACACUGGCUUCACUUCUCUCCUGUGGAGAGACACUUCUAUCAUCGCCAGCACGAGGUGUGCUGCCAGGAUGCAUUGGCAAAACUCAGGAAGAUUUCAGACUGGACUCUUAAGCUUAGCAGCCUAGAUAGAAGGACUGUGACUUCUAUUCUAUACCCUCUGCUACGGCUGAGGCAGGCCUGCUGUCACCCACAAGCUGUUCGGGGAGAGUUCUUACCACUACAGAAAAGCACCAUGACCAUGGAGGAACUCUUAGCAUCUCUGCAAAAGAAAUGUCGAACGGAGUGUGAAGAAGCUCACCGACAGCUGGUGUGUGCUCUUAAUGGCUUAGCUGGUAUCCAUAUCAUUAAAGGAGAAUAUGCAUUGGCUGCGGAGCUGUACAGAGAAGUACUAAGAUCAUCUGAAGAGCACAAAGAAAAGCUUAAAACAGAUUCCUUGCAAAGACUUCAUUCUACACAUAAUUUAAUGGAACUGUUGGCAAAGCACCCAGGAAUUCCCCCAACUUUGCGUGAUAGCCGACUUGCAGAAGAGGCAGAACAACUUCGACAGCAUUAUAUGAGUAAAUCCAACGCAGAAGUUGCAGAAGCCCAUCAGGCCUUACAGCCAGUUCUUCAGACCAUUCGGGAACUUCAAAGAAAGAUACAUUCAGGUUCUCCCUGGUGGUUGGAUGUCAUCCAGACAGCAAUACAGUAUGCCAUCGAUGAGGAGCUUGUUCAACGUGUGCAAAACGAAAUAACUUGCAACUACAAACAGCAGACCAGUAAACUCUCCAUGGCAGAGAAGUUCCGUGACUGCAGAGGCCUUCAAUACCUACUCACAACCCAGCUGGAUGAAGUGAAGAAGUUCCAGAAGAUUGUAAGAGAAGCAGUGAAAAACUUAGAAGGGCCUCCUUCUAAGCAGGUUAUAGAGGCUGCCACUAUCUGCCAUUUGCGACCUGUUAGACUGCCACUUAACAACUGUGUCUUUUGUAAGGCUGACGAAUUGUUCACAGAAUACGAGUCAAAGCUCUUUAUGCAUAGUGUUAAAGGCCAAAUGGCAAUAUUUGAGGAGAUGAUAGAAGACCAAGAAGGGCUUGUCGAUGACCGCUUGCCCACCACAAGCAGAGGGCUCUGGGCAACCAGUGAAACUGAGCGUGCCUUGAAAGCUCUUCUCUCCUUUGCCAAAGCUCACCGAAUGGAUGCUAGGCUAACUGAAGAAGGGAGUGUAUUCCUGGAACUCUUUGAAGCAUGGAAAAAGGAAUAUAAGUUACUUCAUGAGUAUUGGAUGGUCCUUAGGGAUCACGUGUCUGCUAUUGAUGAGCUGGCAAUGGCGACAGAACGACUGCGAGUGCGUCACCCUGAUGAGCCAAAACCAAAUCCACCAGUGCUCCACAUUAUAGAACCACAUGAGGUAGAGCAAAACCGAGUGAAACUUCUGAAUGACAAGGCAGUUGCCAAAUCACAGCUUCAAAAGAAAUUAGGACAACUUCUGUACCUCACUAAUCUGGAGAAAUCUCAGGAUAAAACUACCGGAGGAGUUAACCCAGAACCGUGUCCAAUCUGUGCACGUCAGCUGGGAAGACAGUGGGCGGUGCUGACGUGUGGACACUGUUUUUGUAAUGAGUGCAUAGCAAUCAUCAUCCAGCAGUACAGCGUUGGCACCCGCCGGAGCUCAAUUAAAUGUGCCAUUUGCAGGCAGACAACAUCCCAUAAAGAAAUAUCUUAUGUCUUCACUGCAGAAGCUGCAAAUCAGGAGGAUGAUAUUCCUGUGAAGGGAAGUCACUCCACCAAAGUGGAAGCUGUGGUCCGAACACUGAAGAGAAUUCAAUUUAAAGAUCCAGGGGCUAAGUCCUUAGUUUUCUCAACGUGGCAAGAUGUGUUGGAUAUAAUUUCAAAAGCUUUGUAUGACAACAACAUGGUUUUUUCUCAGAUCAAUGGAAUUAGUAAAUUUCAGGAAAACCUGUCUGCAUUUAAAUACGAUCCCAACAUCAAUAUUUUGCUGCUGCCUCUUCACACUGGUUCCAAUGGAUUGAACAUCAUUGAAGCAACUCACGUUCUGCUCGUGGAGCCCAUUCUGAAUCCAGCACAUGAGCUACAGGCUAUUGGCAGGGUACAUCGUAUCGGCCAAACAAAAUCUACAAUUGUUCAUAGGUUCCUGAUAAAAGCAACAAUAGAAGAGAGAAUGCAGACUAUGCUGAAAACUGUAGAUAGAAGCAUUGCCCAGAUGCUAAGUGAUACAUCAGGCUGGUGUGCAGACGCAGAAAGCAGUUCUCACUGUGGUUUAUCCUUCCAAAAUCCAUAAGCAGUGAUGAAUUGGAGCAGGACCAAAAAUGCAUUUACAUUCCUUAUGCAGACAGUGUAAGAGCCACACGAGCUCUUCCAUGAAACAGUCAGAAGCCUCAGUGUUGACAGUGGCAGAUUUGGCUGACCUUUUUACAGAGGAAACUGAAGAACUUGAGUAAAAACAUUGGUUUGACCUAAUGAAAUUGGAAAGUACCUGACCCAGUAAGCACCAGGAUAAAAUCCACUUGAUCUGUCGUUCUUGUAGACAUCAUCUAACAUUUGUCCAUAAGAGAGCAAUCGGAAAUUGAGAAGUCUUAAUUUUUACUGAUUUAUUCUUUGGUGACAUUCAUAGCAGCACACACUUCUGAUGGCACUGGAUAAAAGUUGCAUUUUGCACAUUGUACAAAAACAUGGAUUUUUUUUUUCCCAAAGAGCAUUUGAGCUGGAUGCUAAAACUGAGAUCUUGGACCCUUGGUUGAGAGGCUUUUUACCAUCAGGCUUGAUCGGCCAGUAGCUCAGUCUGAGAGCAAAACUAUGUGGGUGGUUGGGUGGGAAAGGGAAGCAGAAAAAUACAAAUCUAAUUUUUUUUAUUGUACAAAGAGUUGUUAGAAAGAAUGACUGUAAAUUAAUAUUCUUCUAGAAAGGGCUUGUUAGAUUUAAUGCAGAGUUAUUAAAUGUCUUAUUGUUAACACUUCAAAUUACAAAUGUUUACUAAUAGUUUGGAUAUUUGUAUUAGGCUUUUAGAUAUUCAUUAAGACUUUUAACAGUUAAAUAUUUCAUUGUUAAUGCUUACGGCAAAAAGAUGAUAAUUAAAUUAUGCUUUUUGUA